UGGUUGUCCUCGUAACCAAAUAAUAUAGAGAUACUGGUAUGGCAUACAGGUGAGAUAUAGAAGUACAUCAUCACUGAACAUGACCAACUACGGAGCACUCUGCUGUCAAGGGUAGCUCGCGAAAGAUAUGAGUAUAAGUAUCCCUCCGAUCUAAGAUCACCACGGUGACUUGCAAGCAACUCACUGUACUUUGGUGCUGGACUAACUGAGUUUUUAAUUCGAUAAUGAAAGAUUUCUAAGUAUAGUCAAGUAC
rnacentral:lncRNA from 1 species